rnacentral:rRNA from 1 species
CCUACGGGUGGCAGCAGUGAGGAAUAUUGGUCAAUGGGCGGAAGCCUGAACCAGCCAAGUAGCGUGCGGGAUGAAGGCCCUACGGGUCGUAAACCGCUUUUGCACGGGGAUAACACCCUCCACUUGUGGAGGUCUGCAGGUACCGUGCGAAUAAGGGCCGGCUCAUUCCGUGCCAGCAGCCGCGGUAAUACGGAGGGCCCGAGCGUUAUCCGGAUUCAUUGGGCUUACAGGGAGCGUAGGGGGGCGUUCCAGUCAGCUGUAAAAGCGCGCGGCGCACCCGCGCCCCGCAGUUGAACCUGGACGCGUUGAGUGGACAGCAGGCAGGGGGAAGUGGUGGGGUAGCGGGGAAAUGCAUGG